rnacentral:rRNA from 1 species
UACAGAGGUCCCAAGCGUUGUUCGGAUUCACUGGGCGUAAAGGGUGCGUAGGUGGCGGGGUCAGUCUGACGUGAAAUCUCCGGGCUUAACCCGGAAAUGGCGUUGGAAACUACCUUGCUUGAGGGUUGGAGGGGGGACUGGAAUGACUUGGUGUAGCAGUGAAAUGCGUAGAUAUCAAGUGGAACACCAGUGGCGAAGGCGAGUCCCUGGACAACUCCUGACACUGAGGCACGAAAGCUAGGGGAGCAAACGGG